UUGUUCCUACGGGACGCAGCAGUGGGGAAUAUUGGACAAUGGGGGGAACCCUGAUCCAGCGACGCCGCGUGAGUGAAGAAGUAUUUCGGUAUGUAAAGCUCUAUCAGCAGGGAAGAAAAUGACGGUACCUGACUAAGAAGCCCCGGCUAACUACGUGCCAGCAGCCGCGGUAAUACGUAGGGGGCAAACGUUAUCCGGAUUUACUGGGUGUAAAGGGAGCGUAGACGGUGCAGCAAGUCUGAUGUGAAAGGUCGGGGCCCAACCCCGGGACUGCAUUGGAAACUGUUGAACUGGAGUACAGGCGG
rnacentral:rRNA from 1 species